AUGGGAAAAUGUCCGAUUAUACAACAUUGAAUUAUAUCACUUAAUUGCAGUGUGUGGACUAGGCCUACUAGACUGUAUAGUCCGAUUAUUGUAACUUUGGGAGAUUUGAUGAGCACAAUCAAAUACUAAUUUAUUUAUUAAUCAAAUCUAAUUGUAACUAAAGAUGAGAAAAAUCAUGAGACCUAAUUUGAAAAUCUGUAAACUGAACACUUUUUUUUGUUGGAUAAUUGUCAUAGUAGACGUAUGGAAGUCAAGCAAGCAGGAAGGCAGUAAACUGUUACAGGUCUACGACAACACAACGAGUUACCAACCCUGCCCUGCCCGCAUCCGACGAAGCCAAAUUUUCCUGGAGUUCACGCAGUUUCUCAUCGGAGCGAGCGGCCAAAACAAGCACCGACCUCGGUUUAA